rnacentral:rRNA from 1 species
UACAGAGGGGGCAAGCGUUGUUCGGAAUUACUGGGCGUAAAGGGCGCGUAGGCGGCCCGCUAAGUCGAACGUGAAAUCCCCCAGGCUCAACCUGGGAACUGCGUCCGAUACUGGCAGGCUUGAAUCCGGGAGAGGGAUGUGGAAUUCCAGGUGUAGCGGUGAAAUGCGUAGAUAUCUGGAGGAACACCGGUGGCGAAGGCGGCAUCCUGGACCGGUAUUGACGCUGAGGCGCGAAAGCUAGGGUAGCAAACGGG